ensembl:lncRNA
UGGUUUUAAUAGCUCCAUGUCUGCAGACACUUUCCAAAAAUGAAAAACUGAACUAUUGGUAAAUAAACAAGUAAAUGAUAUAUAGAAACAAUUAUAAAAUAUUUUAUGAGUUAUUAAGUGCUUCUGUAUGGAUGUAUUAUUCAUUAUGUUUAAAUUAACAUAAUAUGGGUCUCAACUUAGAAUCAUGUAAAAUAAUUAGGGCUGGACUAGAAUAUUAGAUUAUGCGAAUAUUCGUUCGGUGGGGUGGCAUUCGAUUUUACAUUUUGAGAUGUGAAUGUUCUUUUUUUUUUUUUAACACCUAGUAUUCCCUGUGAAGCACUUUUCAUUCGCGCUUGAAUAUGAAUUGCCCCUGAUUGAACGUCAUGAUUCAGUUCAACUGGAAGAGAAGACAAAAAUGCCGAAGACCUCAGCUGUGUGGGAGCACUUUAAAUUGAGUGAGGACAAGACAAAGGCAGUGUCAUAUAUGUGAUUUGAAACUGGCCUACCACAACAGCACAUCAAGUUCUCAUCACACUGGCCACUUGCAGUCCAUAAAGCCGUCCAGAGCCAUUCAAAUGUAAAUGUGUUGCUACACGUGUCACAAGAAAGGUGGUAGCCUAUGUAAAGUGUGGAGACAAAAUUGAAGCAGAGAAACACAAAGUAACAGCAUUCAGUGUUGUAACAGAUGGCAAUAACACGUACAUGUCAUCUAAGAAUGGUGAGACGCCAGAAUUCGAAGAAGGGGCCAGCUAUGUGGUGAAAAACCAUACUUGAUCAAGCAAGUAUGGAAAGCAGAGCAUAUUUGUCAAAUCAGCCUCCAGCAAAUUUAAACCCUCCCCACUGAGCCUGAGUGAAGAUCAGGAGAGAAGAGCCUCUGGUCUCAGUGGACCCUUCAGAACAAGGUUGCAGGAGGUGAGGAUGGUGCAGGUGCAGUUCGGUAAAGUGCCCGUCCUGGACUUCAAGUUAAACUGCAAAUCAACAGCAGUUGAGGUUUCUCUUGGAGAGAUGAGGCUGUUAUCGAGCUGUUAAAUGGAGACACUGUGGAGCUGACCCACCUCCACCCAAACACUAAACAGAAUGGAAGAA